ensembl:lncRNA
UCCUCUGAGGCCGUCGUUCUUUUACAAAAAGGGGUGGAGGUUGUUGUUGCCUUUUUUUUUUUUUUUUUUUUUUUUAAUGAAUGGAGGGCGGCGGCGACUGCUGCAGCUGGCUCAGCUGCGCGGGCUGUACCCUCUCCCAAGCCUGCGAGAGGAGGGGAUUUAGCCGAGACAGACGGGGUUCCAUUCCUGAUCUUUUCCCAGCUUUCCUGAAGCAUGAGGUGAAGAAAGCACAGCCUUGGUGGGAUGGUGAGAAGAAGGAGGAGCCCCCAGCCCUGGCCUGGGAGGAGCCUCUGAUGUGUAAGUAGAGUGUGAUUCCAGAGUGUCUGGGAGGUAAGUGAUGGUUAUAUUCUGCUCCUGCUUGGAA